rnacentral:rRNA from 1 species
GACAGAGGAUGCAAACGUUGCUCGGAAUUACUGGGCGUAAAGCGCGUGUAGGUGGCCUUGCGAGUCUGAUGUGAAAGCCCAGGGCUCAACCCUGGAAGUGCAUCGGAUACUACAAGGCUGGAGUACUGAAGAGGACAGCGGAAUUCCCGGUGUAGAGGUGAAAUUCGUAGAUAUCGGGAGGAACACCAGUGGCGAAGGCGGCUGUCUGGGCAGAUACUGACGCUGAGGAGCGAAAGCGUGGGGAGCAAACAGG